GAUGAACGCUGGCGGCGUGCCUAAUACAUGCAAGUCGAGCGAACGGACGAGAAGCUUGCUUCUCUGAUGUUAGCGGCGGACGGGUGAGUAACACGUGGAUAACCUACCUAUAAGACUGGGAUAACUUCGGGAAACCGGAGCUAAUACCGGAUAAUAUUUUGAACCGCAUGGUUCAAAAGUGAAAGACGGUCUUGCUGUCACUUAUAGAUGGAUCCGCGCUGCAUUAGCUAGUUGGUAAGGUAACGGCUUACCAAGGCAACGAUGCAUAGCCGACCUGAGAGGGUGAUCGGCCACACUGGAACUGAGACACGGUCCAGACUCCUACGGGAGGCAGCAGUAGGGAAUCUUCCGCAAUGGGCGAAAGCCUGACGGAGCAACGCCGCGUGAGUGAUGAAGGUCUUCGGAUCGUAAAACUCUGUUAUUAGGGAAGAACAUAUGUGUAAGUAACUGUGCACAUCUUGACGGUACCUAAUCAGAAAGCCACGGCUAACUACGUGCCAGCAGCCGCGGUAAUACGUAAGUGGCAAGCGUUAUCCGGAAUUAUUGGGCGUAAAGCGCGCGUAGGCGGUUUUUAGUCUGAUGUGAAAGCCCACGGCUCAACCGUGGAGGGUCAUUGGAAACUGGAAAACUUGAGUGCAGAAGAGGAAAGUGGAAUUCCAUGUGUAGCGGUGAAAUGCGCAGAGAUAUGGAGGAACACCAGUGGCGAAGGCGACUUUCUGGUCUGUAACUGACGCUGAUGUGCGAAAGCGUGGGGAUCAAACAGGAUUAGAUACCCUGGUAGUCCACGCCGUAAACGAUGAGUGCUAAGUGUUAGGGGGUUUCCGCCCCUUAGUGCUGCAGCUAACGCAUUAAGCACUCCGCCUGGGGAGUACGACCGCAAGGUUGAAACUCAAAGGAAUUGACGGGGACCCGCACAAGCGGUGGAGCAUGUGGUUUAAUUCGAAGCAACGCGAAGAACCUUACCAAAUCUUGACAUCCUUUGACAACUCUAGAGAUAGAGCUUUCCCCUUCGGGGGACAAAGUGACAGGUGGUGCAUGGUUGUCGUCAGCUCGUGUCGUGAGAUGUUGGGUUAAGUCCCGCAACGAGCGCAACCCUUAAGCUUAGUUGCCAUCAUUAAGUUGGGCACUCUAAGUUGACUGCCGGUGACAAACCGGAGGAAGGUGGGGAUGACGUCAAAUCAUCAUGCCCCUUAUGAUUUGGGCUACACACGUGCUACAAUGGACAAUACAAAGGGCAGCGAAACCGCGAGGUCAAGCAAAUCCCAUAAAGUUGUUCUCAGUUCGGAUUGUAGUCUGCAACUCGACUACAUGAAGCUGGAAUCGCUAGUAAUCGUAGAUCAGCAUGCUACGGUGAAUACGUUCCCGGGUCU
rnacentral:rRNA from 1 species